CCUACGGGAGGCAGCAGUCGAGAAUCAUUCACAAUGGGGGAAACCCUGAUGGUGCGACGCCGCGUGGGGGAAUGAAGGUCUUCGGAUUGUAAACCCCUGUCAUGUGGGAGCAAAUUAAAAAGAUAGUACCACAAUAGGAAGAGACGGCUAACUCUGUGCCAGCAGCCGCGGGAAUACAGAGGUCUCAAGCGUUGUUCGGAAUCACUGGGCGUAAAGCGUGCGUAGGCUGUUUCGUAAGUCGUGUGUGAAAGGCGCGGGCUCAACCCGCGGACGGCACAUGAUACUGCGAGACUAGAGUAAUGGAGGGGGAACCGGAAUUCUCGGUGUAGCAGUGAAAUGCGUAGAUAUCGAGAGGAACACUCGUGGCGAAGGCGGGUUCCUGGACAUUAACUGACGCUGAGGCACGAAGGCCAGGGGAGCGAAAGGGAUUAGAUACCCGAGUAGUC
rnacentral:rRNA from 1 species